AUACCUUUCUCGGCCUUUUGGCUAAGAUCAAAUGUAGUAUAUGUUCUUAUCAGUUUAAUAUCUGAUACGUGGGCUAUCGGCCCACUCGAUAUUAAUCUUAUUUUUUAUGGGGAAAGGCCCAUCUCAAUAGCUUGCUAUUGGGGUCGUUAAGCGUCGCCUUGGCGUUAAACUACUGCCUCGCAUCCCUCGAAUAUUGU
rfam:Helianthus annuus linkage group 16, whole genome shotgun sequence.